CAGGCUUAACACAUGCAAGUCGAGGGGCAGCAUUUCAGUUUGCUUGCAAACUGGAGAUGGCGACCGGCGCACGGGUGAGUAACACGUAUCCAACCUGCCGAUAACUCGGGGAUAGCCUUUCGAAAGAAAGAUUAAUACCCGAUGGUAUAAUCAGACCGCAUGGUUUGAUUAUUAAAGAAUUUCGGUUAUCGAUGGGGAUGCGUUCCAUUAGGCAGUUGGUGAGGUAACGGCUCACCAAACCUUCGAUGGAUAGGGGUUCUGAGAGGAAGGUCCCCCACAUUGGAACUGAGACACGGUCCAAACUCCUACGGGAGGCAGCAGUGAGGAAUAUUGGUCAAUGGGCGCAGGCCUGAACCAGCCAAGUAGCGUGAAGGAUGACUGCCCUAUGGGUUGUAAACUUCUUUUAUAUGGGAAUAAAGUUUUCCACGUGUGGAAUUUUGUAUGUACCAUAUGAAUAAGGAUCGGCUAACUCCGUGCCAGCAGCCGCGGUAAUACGGAGGAUCCGAGCGUUAUCCGGAUUUAUUGGGUUUAAAGGGAGCGUAGGUGGACAGUUAAGUCAGUUGUGAAAGUUUGCGGCUCAACCGUAAAAUUGCAGUUGAUACUGGCUGUCUUGAGUACAGUAGAGGUGGGCGGAAUUCGUGGUGUAGCGGUGAAAUGCUUAGAUAUCACGAAGAACUCCGAUUGCGAAGGCAGCUCACUGGACUGCAACUGACACUGAUGCUCGAAAGUGUGGGUAUCAAACAGGAUUAGAUACCCUGGUAGUCCACACAGUAAACGAUGAAUACUCGCUGUUUGCGAUAUACAGUAAGCGGCCAAGCGAAAGCAUUAAGUAUUCCACCUGGGGAGUACGCCGGCAACGGUGAAACUCAAAGGAAUUGACGGGGGCCCGCACAAGCGGAGGAACAUGUGGUUUAAUUCGAUGAUACGCGAGGAACCUUACCCGGGCUUAAAUUGCAUUUGAAUAUAUUGGAAACAGUAUAGUCGUAAGACAAAUGUGAAGGUGCUGCAUGGUUGUCGUCAGCUCGUGCCGUGAGGUGUCGGCUUAAGUGCCAUAACGAGCGCAACCCUUAUCUUUAGUUACUAACAGGUCAUGCUGAGGACUCUAGAGAGACUGCCGUCGUAAGAUGUGAGGAAGGUGGGGAUGACGUCAAAUCAGCACGGCCCUUACGUCCGGGGCUACACACGUGUUACAAUGGGGGGUACAGAAGGCAGCUACCUGGUGACGGGAUGCUAAUCCCAAAAGCCUCUCUCAGUUCGGAUCGAAGUCUGCAACCCGACUUCGUGAAGCUGGAUUCGCUAGUAAUCGCGCAUCAGCCAUGGCGCGGUGAAUACGUUCCCGGGCCUUGUACACACCGCCCGUCAAGCCAUGAAAGCUGGGGGUACCUGAAGUACGUAACCGCAAGGAGCGUCCUAGGGUAAAACUGGUAAUUGGGGCUAAGUCAUAACA
rnacentral:rRNA from 1 species